CUUGUUCAUCUGGCUCUCCCCACCCUCCUACUUUCAGACUUAUCCUUCUAGGUCAGCAAAUCUGGAGAGCCUCUCCUCUUGAUCUAGGGUCAUUAUUACAAUGAAGGGAAGAAAGGAAGACAUGAAGGGGAAAUGGGACUAUUUACCAAGUGUAUCUGCAUAGACUAAAGGAGACAAGAGGAAGUACUGAGCACCUUGAUUCCUGCAGAUAAUUAUUUAAGAACCAUAAGAAUUCUUUCCUAGCUUCUCAUAAGCCUGCUCCUUCAAAGGGUUAACUGCAGUGAAUCAAACUAUUGGAUUAUAAUUCCAUGAAGUAAGUUUAUUGAAGACAAACAGGCCUUGGGCCGCUGCCUCUGUCUCUCCUGCCUUCCCCACUGAAUCUCCAGCCCACAUUCACAAACAAAGACAAACCUGUGUAAACUGAAGCACCACAAAACUACUUUUAUGAAAGCAGAAUGGAAGCAGAUUUCACCUGCAUUUCCUACAUUCAACUGAAUCCUUUAAAUUGACUGAGGCACAUCCUGUACCAAGGAGAGACCUUUGUUACUGCCUUUGAUCCUGAGACCUUCUGAGCCAGAGGCUGGAGACUGGCAGGCAGGCAGCAUGAGCUUCUGCAGCAGCGCAGUUCUGUGAGCCAUGGCCCCUCUGUUUCUGGGUAAUCACCCUCGUCCUUGGUACCUUCUGCCUGCUCCCCUUGCAGCACUGAUCCUUCAUUCCAGGCAGAUGGAAUAAGAUCAAAGCACAAAAAAAAAAG
rnacentral:lncRNA from 1 species